AUGAACGCUGGCGGCGUGCCUAAUACAUGCAAGUCGAGCGAACAGACGAGGAGCUUGCUCCUCUGACGUUAGCGGCGGACGGGUGAGUAACACGUGGAUAACCUACCUAUAAGACUGGGAUAACUUCGGGAAACCGGAGCUAAUACCGGAUAAUAUAUUGAACCGCAUGGUUCAAUAGUGAAAGACGGUUUUGCUGUCACUUAUAGAUGAAUCCGCGCCGCUUUACCUAGUUGGUAAGGUAACGGCUUACCAAGGCGACGAUGCGUAGCCGACAUGAGAGGGUGAUCGGCCACACUGGAACUGAGACACGGUCCAGACUCCUACGGGAGGCAGCAGUAGGGAAUCUUCCGCAAUGGGCGAAAGCCUGACGGAGCAACGCCGCGUGAGUGAUGAAGGUCUUCGGAUCGUAAAACUCUGUUAUUAGGGAAGAACAAAUGUGUAAGUAACUAUGCACGUCUUGACGGUACCUAAUCAGAAAGCCACGGCUAACUACGUG
rnacentral:rRNA from 1 species